GAUUCCCCUAGUACUGCCAGUGAAGCGGGAAAAGCUCAAAUUUAAAAUCUGAUGGUCUUCGGCCAUCCGAGUUGUAAUCUAGAGAAGUGUUACCCGCGUCGGACCGUGUAUAAGUCUCCUGGAAUGGAGCGUCAUAGAGGGUGAGAAUCCCGUCUUUGACACGGACUACCGAGGCUUUGUGGUGCGCUCUCAACGAGUCGAGUUGUUUGGGAAUGCAGCUCAAAAUGGGUGGUAAAUUCCAUCUAAAGCUAAAUAUUGGCGAGAGACCGAUAGCGAACAAGUACCGUGAGGGAAAGAUGAAAAGAACUUUGGAAAGAGAGUUAAACAGUACGUGAAAUUGCUGAAAGGGAAACGCUUGAAGUCAGUCGCGUUGGCCGGAAAUCAGCCUUGCUUUUGCUUGGUGUACUUUCUGGUUGAUGGGCCAGCAUCAGUUUUGACCGAUGGAAAAAGUUCAGGGGAAUGUGGCAUCUUCGGAUGUGUUAUAGCCCUUGGUCGUAUACAUCGGUUGGGACUGAGGAACUCAGCACGCCGCAAGGCCGGGUCUUUGACCACGUUCGUGCUUAGGAUGCUGGCAUAAUGGCUUUAAUCGACCCGUCUUGAAACACGGACCAAGGAGUCUAACAUGCCUGCGAGUGUUUGGGUGGAAAACCCGAGCGCGUAAUGAAAGUGAAAGUUGAGAUCCCUGUCAUGGGGAGCAUCGACGCCCGGACCAGAAGUUCUCUGACGGCCCUGCGGUAGAGCAUGUAUGUUGGGACCCGAAAGAUGGUGAACUAUGCCUGAAUAGGGUGAAGCCAGAGGAAACUCUGGUGGAGGCUCGUAGCGAUUCUGACGUGCAAAUCGAUCGUCAAAUUUGGG
rnacentral:rRNA from 1 species